AGAACGAACGCUGGCGGCAGGCUUAACACAUGCAAGUCGAACGGUUGUAGCAAUACAGCAGUGGCAGACGGGUGAGUAACACGUGGGAACCUUCCUAGGGGUACGGAACAACUCAGGGAAACUUGAGCUAAUACCGUAUACGUCCGUGAGGAGAAAGUUUUAACGCCCCUAGACGGGCCCGCGUAGGAUUAGGUAGUUGGUGAGGUAACGGCUCACCAAGCCUACGAUCCUUAGCUGAUCUGAGAGGAUGAUCAGCCACACUGGGACUGAGACACGGCCCAGACUCCUACGGGAGGCAGCAGUGGGGAAUCUUGGACAAUGGGCGCAAGCCUGAUCCAGCCAUGCCGCGUGAGUGAAGAAGGCCUUCGGGUUGUAAAGCGUCUUUUACCUAGGGACGAUAAUGACGGUACCUGGAGAAUAAGCCCGGCAACUUACGUGCCAGCAGCCGC
rnacentral:rRNA from 1 species